rnacentral:rRNA from 1 species
GGAGAGUGCAAACGUUGUUCGGAUUCACUGGGCGUAAAGGGCACGUAGGCGGCUCGGCAAAUCGGUCGUGGAAUCCCGACGCUUACCGUCGGAACGGCGGCCGAAAAUACCGGGCUNGAGGGCGUGAGGGGUCACUGGAACUCCUGGUGAAGCGGUGAAAUGCGUAGAUAUCAGGAGGAACGCCGGAGGCGAAAGCGAGUGACUGGCGCGUUCCUGACGCUGAGGUGCGAAAGCUAGGGGAGCAAACAGGAUUAGAUACCCUGGUAGUCCUAGCCGUAAACGAUGGACACUGAGUGGAGGAGGGCUUGCCUUUCUCUGCUGCAGCUAACGCGUUAAGUGUCCCGCCUGGGGAGUACGGCCGCAAGGNUA